rnacentral:rRNA from 1 species
AGAAUGAACCGGCGAGUUACGAUUUGAUGCAAGGUUAAGCAGUAAAUGUGGAGCCGUAGCGAAAGCGAGUCUGAAUAGGGCGUUUAGUAUUUGGUCGUAGACCCGAAACCAGGUGAUCUACCCUUGGUCAGGUUGAAGUUCAGGUAACACUGAAUGGAGGACCGAACCGACUUACGUUGAAAAGUGAGCGGAUGAACUGAGGGUAGCGGAGAAAUUCCAAUCGAACCUGGAGAUAGCUGGUUCUCUCCGAAAUAGCUUUAGGGCUAGCCUCAAGUGAUGAUUAUUGGAGGUAGAGCACUGUUUGGACGAGGGGCCCCUCUCGGGUUACCGAAUUCAGACAAACUCCGAAUGCCAAUUAAUUUAACUUGGGAGUCAGAACAUGGGUGAUAAGGUCCGU